rnacentral:sRNA from 1 species
CUGUGAAUGGAUUGAAAUUUAUGAAAGGCCAUCGCAGCAUCAAAGCCAAUUAAGAUACUGGCACUGAAUACAUACAAGCUUUAAAGGAAUACACGACUAAUUUCUGCGACAAAGCCGACAAAAGAUCCCCUCCAAAGGGACUGGGGUUGGGGCUGGGGCUGUGCCUGGGUUGGAUACGACUUUUGUCGCAGCGGCACUUUUGUCGCAAACACAGGCCGUAAAAUUAAGAACUCUGAUUGUGUCUCCUCGGCGCAUCAAUGAUAAAAUAUUUAAAUGAGCGGCCAAUGCGAAGGCAAUCGGACAUUCAGGAAACCAAAAACCAACAGAGAGACCAGAGACCAGAGACCAGAGUGACCACAAAACCCUAAUGGCCCCUGGGCACGCACCGGAGCCAUAUAACUAAAAUAAAAUAUGGCUGGAUCCACUGUGCGUUGAAUUUUGUUAAGCGACAAAGCAAAGCAACAUUGGAGAGAACUGAGUCGAUGGCGCAAAGCAAAAUGCAAUUUUUCGGCAAAAAGUGAUGAGAGUGGAGCGUCUUGUAUGUGGAGAGAAUGAUGGAGAGUGAGGGCAGAAUAACAAAGCAUAGGCAGAUUACAAUAAUGGCUGCUUCUCACAUACAUACAUACAUACAUACAUACACACAUGUAGACAUGUGCACA